rnacentral:rRNA from 1 species
ACGCUCGACACCUACGGGAGGAGCAGUGGGGAAUAUUGCACAAUGGGGGAAACCCUGAUGCAGCGACGCCGCGUGAGUGAAGAAGUAUUUCGGUAUGUAAAGCUCUAUCAGCAGGGAAGAAGAUGACGGUACCUGAGUAAGAAGCCCCGGCUAACUACGUGCCAGCAGCUGCGGUAAUCUGAGCGGGCUGGCAAGGC